rnacentral:rRNA from 1 species
GACGAACCGAGCGAACGUUGUUCGGAAUCACUGGGCUUAAAGGGCGCGUAGGCGGGCUGUCAAGUCUGGGGUGAAAUCCCACGGCUCAACCGUGGAACUGCCUUAGAUACUGACGGCCUCGAGGGAGAUAGGGGCGAGCGGAACUGUGAGUGGAGCGGUGAAAUGCGUAGAUAUCGUUUGGAACGCCAAUGGUGAAAACAGGUUGCUGGGGGUGUGCUGACGCUGAGACACGAAAGCCAGGGGAGCAAACGGG